AGAACGAACGCUGGCGGCAGGCCUAACACAUGCAAGUCGAACGCCGUAGCAAUACGGAGUGGCAGACGGGUGAGUAACACGUGGGAACAUACCCUUCGGUUCGGAAUAACUCAGGGAAACUUGAGCUAAUACCGGAUACGUCCGAGGUUUUAAUCGACCUUGGAGAAAGAUUUAUCGCCGGAGGAUUGGCCCGCGUCUGAUUAGCUUGUUGGUGAGGUAAUGGCUCACCAAGGCGACGAUCAGUAGCUGGUCUGAGAGGAUGAUCAGCCACAUUGGGACUGAGACACGGCCCAAACUCCUACGGGAGGCAGCAGUGGGGAAUAUUGGACAAUGGGCGAAAGCCUGAUCCAGCCAUGCCGCGUGAGUGAUGAAGGCCUUAGGGUUGUAAAGCUCUUUUACCCGGGAGAUAAUGACGGUACCGGGAGAAUAAGCCCGGCUAACUUCGUGCCAGCAGCCGC
rnacentral:rRNA from 1 species